rnacentral:rRNA from 1 species
CACCAGCCCCUCGAGUGGUGGGGAUGAUUAUUUGGCCUAAAGCGUCCGUAGCCGGCCGGGUAAGUUUCCCGUUAAAUCCAGCGUCUCAAGCGUUGGACUGCGGGAAAUACUGCCUGGCUAGAGAGUGGGAGAGGUCAGUGGUAUUCUGGGGGUAGGGGCGAAAUCCUUUGAUCCCCGGAGGACCACCAGUGGCGAAGGCUGCUGACUAGAACACGUCUGACGGUCAGGGACGAAAGCUGGGGUAGCGAACCGGAUUAGAUACCCGGGUAGUCCCAGCCGUAAACGAUGCAUGCUAGGUGUUGGGUUGGCCACGAGCCACCCCAGUGCCGCAGGGAAGCCGUUAAGCAUGCCGCCUGGGAAGAACGAUCGCAAGAUUGAAACUUAAAGGAAUUGGCGGGGGAGCACCACCAGGCGUGAAGCCUGCGGUUU